CUCGGAAGAGGAAAGKGGGGGACCGCAWGGCCUYGCGCGAUUGGGUUGGCCGAUGUCCGAUUAGCUUGGUGGUGAGGUAAAGGCUUACCAAGGCGAUGAUCGGUAGCUGGUCUGAGAGGAUGAUCAGCCACACUGGGACUGAGACACGGCCCAGACUUCUACGGGAGGSAGCAAWGGGGAAUUUUGGACAAWGGGGGCAACCCUGAUCCACCCAUUCCGCGUGAGUGAAUAAGGCCUUCGGGUUGUAAAGCUCUUUUGUCCGGAGCGAAACGGGCGCGGUGAAUAUCCGCGUCUACUGACGGUACCGGAAGAAUAAGCACCGGGCUAACUACGUGCCAGCAGCCGCGGUAAUACGUAGGGUGCGAGCGUUAAUCGGAAUUACUGGGCGGUAAAGCUGCG
rnacentral:rRNA from 1 species